CAGAUAGUGAGCUUACAACGGCAUUAGAGGAAUUGGGCAGGGUGUGUGUGUUCCCUUUUCUGCAGGCUAAAAAUCGACUUCUGGGAAAUACGCACAGAGAAAGAGCAUGCAUUGGUUUUUAAAUAUGACGACCUGAUACGAUACGAUCCUUUUUACGAUAGGAAGAUUAAAAACCAUCUCAGCAGGCAACAGCUUACCAAAGCAAAGUCGGCAAUAAAUGAAGAUGCCCAGGACUUUUUAU